AAGUACGGUGCACCCGGGCGUCUCCGAGAUUGAAAUGACGAUGGUUUCCGCAAUGCUCGUGCAAGAGUAUUCAGCCGUUCUGUGUUACAGUUUCAUACGUGUUAGAUCAACGGCAGAAGUU